rnacentral:rRNA from 1 species
UACGGGGGGGGUAAGCGUUGUUCGGAAUUACUGGGCGUAAAGGGCUCGUAGGCGGCCAACUAAGUCAUACGUGAAAUCCCUCAGCUUAACUGGGGAACUGCGUGUGAUACUGGAUGGCUUGGAUUUGGGAGAGGGAUGCGGAAUUCCAGGUGUAGCGGUGAAAUGCGUAGAUAUUGGGAGGAACACCAGUGGCGAAGGCGGCUCGCUGGACCGGUUCUGACGCUGAGGCGCGAAAGCGUGGGGAGCAAACGGG